rnacentral:misc_RNA from 1 species
AAGUCGUAACAAGGUUUCCGUAGGUGAACCUGCGGAUGGAUCAUUAUCACGUAUCCACGUAUCAACCAUUGUGAACUGUCUAUUUACGAUAUCAAAGCAGGCGUCUGUGUGGAUGAUGAAAAAAAUCGUAUUAAUCCAUUUUUGACUUCAUUCACACCGCGCGUUUGUCGCGCAGGAGGUUGAGUUUAGAAUGUUAUAAGCACGCGUGCUCUGACUUUCUCACACAUUCUUUUGCUGAUACGUAAAUUUUUUAUUAACAACUUAAACCUAAAUUUUAUAACUUUUGAACUGAUUUAUUUCAUACUCUUCGGAGAUGAAAUUCAUUACGAAACAAAGAACAACUCUUAGCAACGGAUAUCUUGGUUCUC